UCCACUAAUUUGAAUCAACAAGACCCAAUUCUCAUUAUCGAAUCCGAUUCUGUGUUUCCUUCUUUUACCAGUUUUUGAUCUCUUUUUCUCUUGCGGAAUUUGAGUUCUGUGGAGACGAUGGGAAGAGGCAAGUUCAAGGGGAAACCUACAGGCCAACGCCGAUUCUCUAGUGCUGCUGAGAUACGUAAGGUUUCGUUUAUGUGUUAGAUAAUCAGUGGGUACACGAAAAGUUUAGGUUUUGAUUUGCUGUUGGUUGUUUCGUACCGAAUGUUUGUGUUUGAUAGAUAGGGUUUGGUUAAGUUCUGCUACUCUCUUUGAUGACUUGAUUCACUUUUGCUUGGCUUUUGUAAACUCUCUGGCUCGGAGGAUCAAUAGGAUUGUAUUAAUGUGUUCAAUUGAAUUUGACUCGGAGGAUCCAGUUUUUUGGUGAAUUUUGGGUUUAUUUUCUAGGGAUUUUAUAUAUUUCAAGAUUGAUGUUAUAUGUUUUUCUUUUUGGUGUUAUGCAGUUGCUGGCACUUCUGCUGCACGUCCUCGCUCGUUCAAGCAGGUACUUUUGUUGUUUUCUCUUACAUGUUUUAUACGUUUGUUUCUUUGUUUACGUGUGUUGUGAAUGAUUUGUUUUUUUUUCUUUGUGAUGAUAUUAUCAGAAAGAAGCUGAGUACGAAGAAGAUAUCGAAGAGGUGUCUGAAGAGGAAUCUGAAGAAGAAGAAUCCGAAGAUGAAUCUGAUGUGAGUGGAAACCCCCUUGUAAUGUUAUGUGGCCUUUGUUCAUCUAUUAUCAUUGCUUUACAGUUUACCUUGUAUAAUAACAUCAGGUGAAGAAGAAAGGACACGAAGCUCUAAUCGAAGUUGAUAACCCUAACAGAGCUAAGCCCAAGACCUUGAAAGCAAGAGACCUUGAUGUAAGCUUAUCUGUGUAAUCACUUUCUGUGAGUCUCUUCAUUUAUAUAAAUAUGCUUGUCUUAAUAACUCUGUUCUUCCUAUUUCUUGAUUAGGCAAGUAAAACCACUGAACUCUCAAGGCGUGAAAGGUUUGUUCCUAGUACUGAACAUUCAACAUUUGUUAUUGAAUAGCUUCUUAGCAGUUCCAUCUUAUAUGGUCUUCUGCAGGGAGGAGCUAGAGAAGCAGCGAGCUCAUGAGCGAUACAUGAGGUUGCAGGAGCAAGGCAAAACCGAGCAAGCAAGAAAGGAUUUAGGUAAAAAAACAAUGGACCUCUUGUUCUCUUUCUUUGUUACCAGAUGAGCCUAUUGAUUAUCUUAUCCCUUGUGUGCGUUUGUGUGUGUACAGAUCGUUUGGCUCUGAUACGCCAACAGAGAGAAGAAGCUGCCAAGAAGCGAGAAGAGGAAAAAGCAGGUAAAACAAAACAUUAUUUGUUUUUAAAAAUUCAGAGUCUAUUCCUUACUGUUUCUGAUCUUAUUUUAAUGUCUCACUUUUGUUGUAGCGAGAGACGCGAAGAAAGUCGAUGCUCGCAAAUGAGCCAAGUGUUCAAGCACAUCGAAGAACUACCCUACUUUAUAACUAAAACAAAACAAGACUCAGCGACUAAGAUGUGUUGUUUUUUUACUUUUGUUCAUUUUCAAUUGGUAAACAGAUACAGCCUUUGCCUAUUUACUCCGUGUGGAUCUUAAUACAUUUAAAAGUUAUUAAAGUCUCUUAGACUCUUUAGCAUCCGAUUGAAAAACUAUAAACAACAUUGGCUCGAUAAUUCUUGCCUAUCUCUUCCUUAUGCACUAUCUUCAUUUUUUCAUAAUCCAUUUCUUUCUCUUCUUUAAAAUACUUUUUGUUCUUCUAAAUGGUUUCCCAAUUGAUGCAUACAUAUUUAUUAUCUGCUAGACCUGAGAAUUUUACUGGAAUCUAAUCCGAAAAUCUGAUCCGAAUCAGAACAAAAAUAAAAAAAUAUUUGAUUGAGUUCUGUAUUCAAAAUGUUUGGAUAUAUGAAAAGCAAAAUAUUUAAUUGGGUUUUGUAUUUAAUAAGUUUGGAUAUCUUAAUGAUACACCCUUAAAUUGAAGGGUCACUCAGCCGGACUAGUUUGGAUAAUCCUAAGCUUAAGCUUCUAAGGGUCGUGUAGAUUCAACAAAAGGUAUAUUAAAUCCAAUGCCUGAUGCAAUCGACGUUCCAACGAGAAGAUAGGCAAUGGAACCUCCGAAUGAAAUCUGAUGCAGAACCAAUAAGGAGUAUAUGAAACUCAACACCUGAACUGUUUAAACACCAAAUGAACACCAACAAAUGAGGAUGAAAUUCACUUGAUAAGCCGGUUGAUCUCGAAUCCACUAAAGAUCGAAAAGUUCCCGAAGGAACAAACAUGAGAAUCUCUCUCACAGGUUUCGGACAAAAAAUAGAGGUAAUCAUUAAUGAUUCGUCUUUUUUGGAAUUCUAGUUUUUGGUGUUUUGAUUGUUUAGGUAGUUGUGGUUUUUUUUUAAGCUGUAAAAUAAAAGUUUGUGUAAAAUUAGUUUGAUAAGUAAGAGAGAUAAAUAGACGAUCACAUAAUUUGAGUAGAAAAUAUUUUUGAUUAUUGAUGUUAGCACAAUAUAGAUAAUAAUAUAAAGGAAAUUUUGUGUUGAUUGUUUCUUACGGAUCAAUGAGAAGACGGAUAACGACUCAAGUUGUUUCUUUGCUAAGGUCAGAGCCUUGGACAUAACGGAUUUUUCCAACCAUAUCUGCGAGUUUAAAUAUCAGUUAUGAUAACGAAAUAUAUUAUAAACCCAGAUGCAAUAUGAUAAUAUACCUGGGAGUUCUAGGUUUGUGUUCGCAAUCACUCGGAAAUUUCAAACAGUUUAAUUAUGAUUGGAGAUUGAUCUCAGGAGCACCCGUGAUGACUUCAUCAAUAAAAAUUGGUGAGAUGAAAUGAAUGAGGAAUGAAUGAUCAAUUAUCUUGUACAUGCUUGAGCACCUAGCAACUUCAAAACUAUCGACUUUCACAAUGGAACCGGCUUUCAAAGAUGACAUGUAAUGAUUAGCACGUCCGGCGGGAAUAAACCCAUGAAUCAUGGAAUCUGCAAAUAAUAUUAUUUAACAAAGCAUCAGAAAAUCAAUUAAAAACAAUUAUAUUAAAUAAGUAUGAUAAUCGAAGAUUAACUUACCUUUUCAUCAAGGAAGAGAACUGUGAUUCCCUUAAACUCACUGUCUUUCUUGAAGUUCAAGAAAUCCCAUAAGCGAGGAGGUUAGAGGCUAUGCUCUGACUACUACGAUUAACACGGAGAGACUCGAAAGUUGAGUGAUGGAUGUCGGGAACGCCGGUUUGAGGAACUGGAGAGGCAGAGAGACAUUUUCUAGAAGAUCGUUAAAACUAAGAGGAAUCAAUGAGUUUUGUGGAGAUGCAGAUUGGAUUCAUCAAAGAUGAGAAUCAUAUAUAUAUGGUUUACAAAAAAGCUACAAAUCAGGAACAUUUAAGAUCAAGCGAUUUAAGAUGGCGAGAUGAAGAGUUCACCGGUCAAAAAAAAUAAAUUACGAACAGACACACAUCACAACUUUGUAACUCAGACUUGUCUAAGACAAUGAUGAAAAAAACCCUAACUCAUGUUAAACGAAGACAUUUUACAAUAUGGAAAAACUAUAAUUGUUGUUUUUUUUCAUAUAACGUGAUGAACCUCAUUUAAAAAUGAAACUCAUAAUACACUUGUAGGCCCGAGCAACAGAGAAAACCGAAGAAGCAAAGGUUUCCGACCUUCAUAAAUAUAUAUUAAUUUCGGCCAUCAAUGUACAAAAUAUCUUUUAGUUUAGUGGUAUAAAUGUUGGUGUUUAUAUCUUAAUAACCCGGGUUCGAGACACAUGCUUGACACUUUUUUCACACUUUUUAAAAAUGGGACCCACCAAAAUGCUGACGUGUCAUUUCAGGAAUGACUCAACUACCUCAUUAUAUUAUAGAUUUAUUAAUAUAUGCAUUACUAAAUAAGCAAUUAUAAUGAUAAAUUAUUUUUUAUUUAAAAAUCCGUACUUAUUAUAAUUUUUUGAAUUUUUUUUGUAUAAUAUAUUUAACAUUAAAUAAUAAAUGUUAAAAAUCACUCAAUGCUAUCUUUUCAAUUAUAUAAAUUAAGAAUUUAUAUUGAUUAAUAUAAAUAUGUUACUAAAAUAUAUUUUAGGAUAACAACACAAUAUAUAUAGGAAUUAUCUUUUAUUUUAAAAUAUAUAUUUUUAGAUUUUAAAAUUAAAAUUUGUUUUAUUUUAGCUAGUUUAUAUAUUUUAUUCACUAAGGAUAGCAUCAUAGUUAACCGCUCUAACCAAUCAAAACUAAUUUUUCAAGAUUUUUCAAAUAUAGUAAAAUAUUACAUAUUUAAAAUAAAUAUGGUGAUAAGUUUUUUUUUUGGGGACAAAAUGGGUGAUAAGUAUUUAUUAGAAGGAAGUAUAUGUAAAUUACAAUAUUACAAAACGAGAUAAUGACCGUUCGAUCUAUAGAUUAACACGAUCUUUAAGUGAACCCUAACACAGAGGAGCAACUACUAAUACUAUAAUCAAUAGUUAAAAUACACAGAAUCCACAAAAGUGAGAGGCGCCUUUAGGGUUUUCGUCUGGUAGUGGUGUGACCGUAAUAAAAAGAGAAGACGAGAUCCCUCCUCCACUAAUUUGAAUCAACAAGACCCAAUUCUCAUUAUCGAAUCCGAUUCUGUGUUUCCUUCUUUUACCAGUUUUUGAUCUCUUUUUCUCUUGCGGAAUUUGAGUUCUGUGGAGACGAUGGGAAGAGGCAAGUUCAAGGGGAAACCUACAGGCCAACGCCGAUUCUCUAGUGCUGCUGAGAUACGUAAGGUUUCGUUUAUGUGUUAGAUAAUCAGUGGGUACACGAAAAGUUUAGGUUUUGAUUUGCUGUUGGUUGUUUCGUACCGAAUGUUUGUGUUUGAUAGAUAGGGUUUGGUUAAGUUCUGCUACUCUCUUUGAUGACUUGAUUCACUUUUGCUUGGCUUUUGUAAACUCUCUGGCUCGGAGGAUCAAUAGGAUUGUAUUAAUGUGUUCAAUUGAAUUUGACUCGGAGGAUCCAGUUUUUUGGUGAAUUUUGGGUUUAUUUUCUAGGG
rnacentral:lncRNA from 1 species